rnacentral:rRNA from 1 species
AGAACGAACGCUGGCGGCGUGGAUAAGACAUGCAAGUCGAACGCGACUUAUUGAGUUAGCAAUAACUUGGUAAGUUGAGUGGCGAAAGGGUGCGUAACACGUGGGAAUUUACCGAGAAGUGGGGAAUAGCUCGACGAAAGUCGAAUUAAUACCGCAUACGAUCGCAAGAUCAAAGCCGGGGACCGCAAGGCCUGGCGCUUUUUGAGAAGCCCGCGGCCCAUCAGCUAGUUGGUGAGGUAAAGGCUCACCAAGGCUAUGACGGGUAGCUGGUCUGAGAGGACGACCAGCCACACUGGAACUGAGACACGGUCCAGACACCUACGGGUGGCAGCAGUCGAGAAUUUUUUCACAAUGGACG